AUCAGGGCACAUUAUGGUUAGAAACUUUACCCCAAGAUGUAAAGAAGUGAUUCUUGAGACAUUUGGUCUCAUUGAGCAAAUAAAGGACCAAAAAAAAAAAAAAAAGCCUUAGAACAGUCUCGAUAUGCAAGACUGCGAUGUGCGAUGUACAGGAAUCUCUUAGGGAGAAAUUCUUGGCCAGAAUUUACAACUUGUUCCCUAUUCAAAACAACCCCACUUUGCUACUACAUGACCCCCUCUUAUACAGAGGAGUUUGCCACAAAUUACUCAUCAACAUGGGUCUGGGCACAUAAUUGCUUCAUCUCCCAGGCUUGGCACAUCUGUGUAAAUAGUUUUGAUUAGUUUCAGUCUCACUUAAUAGUAACAGUUGUGUGGGCCAAGGGAGGUUAGGCUUGAUCUUAGACUAAACCAAUUAGCAGCAAGGCUCCCACUCCCCCGUCUUUCUGCCCCACCCCUGCAUCAAUGCCUGCAUUUGUAGCAGUGAACAAUCUCUAAGGUGAUUGUGCCAAGUUCUAAGCCGGGACUUUCAAAGACUUGCCUGGGUACUGCCGC
rnacentral:lncRNA from 1 species